rnacentral:rRNA from 1 species
GGCUCAGAUUGAACGCUGGCGGCAUGCCUUACACAUGCAAGUCGAACGGCAGCACGGGGCAACCUGGUGGCGAGUGGCGAACGGGUGAGUAAUGCAUCGGAACGUGCCAUUGAGUGGGGGAUAACGUAGCGAAAGUUGCGCUAAUACCGCAUAUUCUGUGAGCAGGAAAGCAGGGGACCGCAAGGCCUUGCGCUCUUUGAGCGGCCGAUGUCAGAUUAGCUAGUUGGUGAGGUAACGGCUUACCAAGGCGACGAUCUGUAGCGGGGUCUGAGAGGAUGAUCCGCCACACUGGAACUGAGACACGGUCCAGACUCCUACGGGAGGCAGCAGUGGGGAAUUUUGGACAAUGGGCGCAAGCCUGAUCCAGCCAUGCCGCGUGAGUGAAGAAGGCCUUCGGGUUGUAAAGCUCUUUCGGCCGGGAAGAAAUCGCAUGGGUUAAUACCCUGUGUGGACGACGGUACCGGAAUAAGAAGCACCGGCUAACUACGUG